rnacentral:lncRNA from 1 species
GAUGGAAUGAAUUCCUUUUGAUCUAAGAGUUUAUACACCAUUGAGCAAAAGCCACUAACCAGCAGGACACAGCUCUGUGGAUCACCAAUUCUGACAGGCCACUACACAUCCUUAACCACACCGGCCUGCCCAAACUCUGUGAUGGGUUCACUUAUGCAUAAAAUAUUGAGAGAUUGUUAGGGCUGCUCAAUGAGCAAGAUCCGUGAGUGUGGUGCUCAGAUGAGAAGAAAGGGAAGGAAGUGAUGAGCACCAGAAAGCACAAAGUUGAAUAUAAAUGCUGCAUUCUGGCUUAAAUUGUCUUUCUUUGCAGUAUCCUUUGCUAAUCUACAGAAAAAGAUGAAAAACACAGUGAAUACUUUCUACAAAUUUCCAAAGAACUUCUGAAUAUUUUUCUUUUUGUUGUUGCUUUGUAAUAGCACUGUAUUGUUUUCGAGCAAUAUUUUCUUUUGUCUAGCAGCUUUAGUCCAGCAGAUAUGACAAUAUGUCAACCACUGGUGUUUAAGAACAUGUAAGUGAGUUGUCUUCCAUGGCCAGCUUACCUACUUCAAGAGUGUUUCCAUUUACUUCUAAUCUUGUCUCUUCCAGUCACUACGGAUUUAGUUUGUUUGCUUUUCUUUCUUAAAGCAUGCAUUUAUUAUUCCACUUUCAAUAUAUGCCUUAAAUUUUUUUUUACUAUCAUUGCCUAUACAGAUAUGUUUAUUGCCACGUAUGGAUCUGCUUACAUAUAGCAGUCCAUGUCCUUACUCUGAUCUUUGUCUACAUAUCUACCACUUAGUGAUAUUAUUCUGGUUUACCUUUGGCUUUUUCUGGUGGGCUUUGGCUUCCAUAAUUUCUAGAACAUGUGAAAGAUACAGAUUUGCAAUAAAAUACUGGUACUGGUCAUUUGAUAUCAACUUACAUCUUGCCACAUGAUAAAAUAUUAAAGACUCCACAUGAAACUCAAUUCAGCUGAUAGAGUAUUUGUCUAGCAUGCACUAAGGUAUAGGAUUAAUGUUCACAUUACAUAAAACUAAAUAUAUAAUCGUGCCCACUGACAAUUUUUUUGAUUUUUGUUUUUCGAGACAGGGUUUCUCUAUAUAGCCUUGGCUGUCUUGGAACUCACUUUGUAGACCAGGCUGGCCUUGAACUCAGAAAUCCGCCUACCUCUGCCUCCCAGGUGCUGGGAUUAAAGGCAUGUGCCACCAUGCCUGGCUGGCACCCACCUACAAUCUUACCACUCAACAGAUAAAGGCAGGGAUAAGAAGUUCAAAGACAUAUUCACCUACAUUCUGAGUUCAUGGCCAGCUUGAAAUAUGUGAGGUUCUGUCUUAAAAUAAUGGUAAUUAUUAUGACACACAGUACAGUAAUUGACUAAGUUAAACUGAUUAACUAUAAACUUCCACCAGGGUUGGGUUAUAUGUGUAGAUAUUAAAAUUUUUACUGAACAAUUAUGUUCAUUGAUUUGAUCACUUCUAAUACUCGAAGACUCAUGUGUAAUUUCAAGUAACAUCUGGCCAGUCUCUGGCUUUUCCCUGUGAAUAAUUAAUUUCUCCUUCUCUAUUCCAGUGGCAUCUCAUUCUAGUAAUAAGCUCACUAUUCACAGACCUCAAGGCUGUACGUAUUCAGCCAUAUAACAAUAUAGUAAUAAUAUAUACAUAUUUAGUAAAUUGUCUCAAUUUGUUUGUGCUAUAGUUGAUUAUCUUUGUGUAAUCUUAGGCAUAACUUUCAUAUUUGUGUGUUUUU